AACGUAAAGGAUACAGCCUAAACCCAAUUUAUAUGGUCUUGGUAGACCUGACUAUACCCCAGGUAUAGUCAGGUCUACCAAGACCAUAUAAAUUGGGUUUAGGCUGUAUCCUUUACG
rnacentral:miRNA from 1 species